rnacentral:miRNA from 1 species
CUAAGAGAUUGGGAUUUGGUAGGA